rnacentral:rRNA from 1 species
UACGUAUGUGGCGAGCGUUGUUCGGAAUCACUGGGCAUAAAGAGUUCGUAGGCGGAUGUAUCAGUUGGAUGUGAAAUCCCGGGGCCUACCCCCGGAACUGCAUUCAAUACUGUACAUCUGGAGUCUUUCAGGGGUAAGUGGAAUUCCAUGUGUAGCGGUGAAAUGCGUAGAUAUAUGGGAGAACGCCAAUGGCGAAGGCAGCUUACUGGGGAAUGACUGACGCUGAGGAACGAAAGUUAGGGUAUCGAACGGG